AACGAACGCUGGCGGCGCGCCUAAUACAUGCAAGUCGAGCGAGAAGGUGUAGCAAUACACUUGUAAAGCGGCGAACGGGUGAGGAAUACAUGGGUAAUCUACCAUCGAGUGGGGAAUAACCAACCGAAAGGUUGGCUAAUACCGCGUACGCCUCCGAGUCUUCGGGUUCGGAGGGAAAGCUGCACUGUGAGUGUAGCGCUCUUUGAUGAGCUCAUGUCCUAUCAGCUUGUUGGUAGGGUAACGGCCUACCAAGGCUUUGACGGGUAGCUGGUCUGAGAGGACGAUCAGCCACACUGGCACUGCGACACGGGCCAGACUCCUACGGGAGGCAGCAGUAAGGAAUAUUGCGCAAUGGAGGCAACUCUGACGCAGCCAUGCCGCGUGCAGGAAGAAGGCGCUACGCGUUGUAAACUGCUUUUAACCGGGAAGAACCCCAGGACGUGUCCUGGGUUGACGGUACCGGAGGAAUAAGCACCGGCUAACUUCGUGCCAGCA
rnacentral:rRNA from 1 species